rnacentral:rRNA from 1 species
UACGUAGGGUGCAAGCGUUAAUCGGAAUUACUGGGCGUAAAGCGUGCGCAGGCGGUGAUGUAAGUCAGGUGUGAAAUCCCCGGGCUCAACCUGGGACCUGCAUUUGUGACUGCAUCGCUAGAGUACGGUAGAGGGGGAUGGAAUUCCGCGUGUAGCAGUGAAAUGCGUAGAUAUGCGGAGGAACACCGAUGGCGAAGGCAAUCCCCUGGACCUGUACUGACGCUCAUGCACGAAAGCGUGGGGAGCAAACAGG